GCAAAAUUGGACGACUUCAUUUUCACGCCAUUGAAGGGGUGUCCAGUCCGAUGACAGUGUGUAAACGUUUUAAUGAUAUUUCUGAUGAAUCAACAUUUCAAUUAUUCAUAAUUGAUGGAAAGGAUAAUUUAAUUAUUCUAUAAAACCUGGGACAAAAGAUAUUUUAAGUCACAGAUAAACGAAAAUGCUGUCACGAAAAUUGUGUCUUGCAUACGGAGUACCUGACUCCCCCGUGUAAGCGUAAAGAUUUGUCCGUUGCCGCUGAAACUCUUUGAACUUCGAGCGUGUGCCUGUGUAGUUUAAAGACACGCAAAGCUGAGGUUUAAACGGGUAAAUUAAUGUGAUCUUACAAGAGGUGCUGUAGACUUGCGGGUUGUUUCUUAAAGACUAGAAAGAUGUAGUGGCUCAAAUGUCUUAUAGUCUUAUCACAGUAAAUACUUCAGUGACAGACAGCUAUGACUUCAAAACAGGGAUUCAGACUGAAAUACAAAAAAUAUGUCAGUAAAGAUCAAUAAUUGAAGAGAUUUUAUGGAUGGGAGUGGGACUCACAUGAAAUAGAGUUUCCAAGAUUCUGCUGUGAAAAUGACUCAGACUGGCAGAAACAUAAUUGGAUUAAACAUGGGCAUAUUCUGAUGAAACUUCCAUUUGGUUGCUAAAAAUUGUUAAUUAACAGUACCUGUAUAGCUGUAGAGAGAGAUGUUGAGAGUGAUUGUUUAAUUCACACAGGUGCAAUUUUAGUGUAAAACAGUACAAGCAAAUUACUGUUGAAUGAACAAACAAAAUUGUGCUAUAUAACAUAUGGAAGCAGCUUGUUCUAUAUAUUCUUUUUUAUAAUAAACCCUACACAACUACAGUGAUAAGUGGGAUAUACUAGAGUCAGAUUGUCUGUCUGUCUGCCUGUCUACCUAUUGGAGCUAUUGAAGUGAAACUAAAUAGACAGAUGUAUCUCAUUGCAGUGAAAUGUAGUUCCAAGGCAUUUAAUCAAUUGUUUUUUCAUAUGAUAGAUCAGACAAAA